GAGGGAAAGCCUGAGACCCUAAACCUCUAAUUCACAGAGAUGCUUUUGAAAUGACCACUUUGCUGUGUUCGCCCCAAAAGAAGCAAAGAGCAGGAGCAGCCCAGCUAACAGAAUUGGAACAGUCCUCUGAACAGCUACACAAAAACAGCGGUGGUUAUUCACAGCAGGACCAGCAGGACCCUCCUACACACAACAGGCUGAGGCAGGGGAAGAAGGGAGUAACCACGCAGCACAGAGAAGAAAGCUUUGCAGAAGGAGGAGGAAGAAAAGGACUCUACAAGCUGGGAACAAGAAUGCUGGGCUGGUGGUUUGAACUAGUUCCCUUGAGUUCCUUCCCAAUCUCUUACCUCUCUGUAUCCUCAUUAUUUGAUUAUUACAAGAGAAAUCUAAAGAGUGCAUUCACAGAUUCCCAAAUAAAGGUCUGAGACAACUGUGAAGAAUCAGAAGAGCAGACAAUGUUUUUUGCAACCUAUCAAUCAAGACUGACCAAGUCAAACGUUGCUUGAUGCUGGUUUUUAUAUCUCUGCUUAUUAUAUUUUUAAUGGAUGUGGUGCCCGGCAGCCUCAUUUGUGGUUUCUGUUGUGCAUGACUCCAACCAGUGAGCUUACUGAAGGCUUUUCCCAGUCCCAUUAAGGAGAAACUGUGCAGGAGAUGGAUGUGGAUGAUCAGAUAAGAAAGCAAAUGGGGCAACAUUGAUCACUACAGCAAGCCAAAGCUAUCACUUCCCUGUUGUGUUUAUUUUUUUGUAGGCAAAACAGCAAAGGAAAUUUUUAAGGGGGCAUUCAAAGAGUUAUUACUGCUAUUAAAGAGCAGUGGGCUUUGUAGUGACUGCACCCAGCUCUGAGAGGAGCUGUGGGGGGUUGAUGGGCCCAGAAUAGACCAGAGAGCAGCAGAGAUGCGCAGCACUUUCUUAUACAGUUCCACCAGGAUGCAAGUGGUGGGACAUAGCCAAAAUGAAGUGCCAGGAAAAAGGCAACCCAUGGAAAAGCUGGAUGAGUGAGGAGGAAGAAGGGGCUGCAGAGUCCAUUCCCCUAAAGCAGAGGAGUGGAGCAGCCAGUGACAGUUCAGGAGGGAGAAGCAACAAGGGACAAACAGCUUCCUUCCUCCCCAGCAUGCGGUAUGCAGUGAUGAUUGAGCUCUGAGCUGAUUUAUACUGACUGCAGCUACUGCUGUCUCACUUAUCCUGGUUCUUCACAGUGCAACCCUCUUUGCACAUUCUAGCCAUCACCCUGUUCUUAUUGAUCAUAAUUUUGCAACAGGAACAGGGUGACUUUCCUUCCCACCCACCCACACUUUUCAGGCUUCUUGUGUACAAUAAUGAUUCUUAAAUCCCUGAGCACUGAAUUUCUUUCUCUGAAAUCUUCCAAACCACGCCAGACAAUAUUAUUCAAUCUCUCUAGCCCACAAAGCUCUCUGGAAAGUCAU
rnacentral:lncRNA from 1 species